AUUGAACGCUGGCGGCAUGCUUUACACAUGCAAGUCGAACGGUAACAGGGUGCUUGCACCGCUGACGAGUGGCGAACGGGUGAGUAAUGCGUCGGAACGUGCCGAGUAGUGGGGGAUAACGCAGCGAAAGUUGUGCUAAUACCGCAUACGUACUGAGGUAGAAAGUGGGGGACCUUCGGGCCUCACGCUAUUCGAGCGGCCGACGUCUGAUUAGCUAGUAGGUGUGGUAAAGGCUCACCUAGGCGACGAUCAGUAGCGGGUCUGAGAGGAUGAUCCGCCACACUGGGACUGAGACACGGCCCAGACUCCUACGGGAGGCAGCAGUGGGGAAUUUUGGACAAUGGGCGAAAGCCUGACCCAGCCAUGCCGCGUGUCUGAAGAAGGCCUUCGGGUUGUAAAGGACUUUUGUCAGGGAGGAAAUCCCUAGUGCUAAUAACACUGGGGGAUGACAGUACCUGAAGAAUAAGCACCGGCUAACUACGUGCCAGCCGCCGCGGUAA
rnacentral:rRNA from 1 species